rnacentral:tRNA from 1 species
GCGCGGGUGGCGGAAUUGGUAUACGCGUAUGCUUGAGGUGCAUAUGCCGCAAGGCUUGGAGGUUCAAAUCCUCUCCCGCGCA